GAAAUGUGUUAACGAGUGUGCGGGAAAUGUCUGGAGGGGAUGAGAAGGGUGUGCGGUAUAGAGAGUGGACACUCCUUGUUACCCCUAGAUGAGAAUAUCCGACUUCAGUCUCUGCCCUAUAACCGCCAGAAAGCGACACGACUCCCGUUCCCGUACAGUUACCUUUCACUUGACUCAAUUUUAAUUUUUCCCCGACAAUCAUUUUAAAUGUAUAUCAUAUUAAGAACGAAUUUCUUGGUAAGUCAAGUCUAAAAUAUAGGCAUGUGUGGCUUGAUUGUUUUGUGUACCGAAAAUCCGUAGAUGGAGUCGUGCCGAGUCCGGGCACGUUUCCCAGCUCGAGGGUUUUCCUCGUCGUAGAGGCGAUUUCCCGUAGAUUUACGUUCGUCUUAGAGGCCGGGCUCAGAGGCCGUCCGUCUUAGGCGACCCGUCCGACGACGUCGAGAUCGCCGGUCCACGGUCCAUUUAUCCUCAUGUAAAAAUUGAUCCGUUUAUCAAGAGAGGGGGGCAAAGGGAAACCGAGAUCCGUGAAUACGAUCGGAUGAGGAUUUUGCCGUAAUUGGAAACGAGUGAGGACCGGAUAAGAGGCUCUUAUAACGGACACGAUUCCGCCGGUUUCGUUCAAAUUAUAGAUUUCUAUUCUCCUGGAAACGCGCUCCCUCUCACGAGCUUAGCCUCUUUUUUUGGCAGUCGCCGAAAGAUGGCUACCGGUCCGCCACCACUCAGACUUCUCUAUUCUUCUUCGAACAUUGAUUUUCCUUUGCCCAUCCGUAAAUUUUCGGUUGUGUUUUCCGUUUUAUAAUUGUCAGGCCAGUUUACGCUUGUCCACGGCAAAUAUCCGACUUCCAUAUUGUCAAAAACGCCCCCAUAGCAAGAAAUAUUCUCAAAGCGGAUGAAUGAAGAAGAUAUCUUGAAAUGUGGAUGAAAUGACUUGCUAUGGCCUU